rnacentral:tRNA from 1 species
AAGGGAGACCUAAUUCAGGUAGGAGACGAAAAAAAAGUAGUCCCUACCAAGAAUCAAUCCCAAAAGGUCGGAGCGAGGCAAAAUUGGCUUUCAAACUAGGUUCUGGGUUCACACAAGGCCUGAAUCAGGAACAAGGGCUAUUAGCUCAGGUGGUUAGAGCGCACCCCUGAUAAGGGUGAGGUCCCUGGUUCGAGUCCAGGAUGGCCCACCUGUACAGGUGGCAAAAACAAAGAAAAGAAGCGAGGAAUCAGCACCUUAUCUUACUUAUAUAGUAAGAGAGAAUGCUGGCUCUGAGUUCAGAGUCCAGAGGAACCUUGAAAACUGCAUAGAGCUAGGUGAAAAAGCCAAAAAAGAAGACCACAA